CCUACGGGAGGCAGCAGUGAGGAAUAUUGGUCAAUGGGCGGGAGCCUGAACCAGCACAGCCGCUUGCGUUCCUCCUUUCCCUCUUCUCUUCCCCCUCUUUUUUCCUUUCCCACAGGCGGGGACUAGUCCCCGGAUGAGGGUACCUGAAGAAAAAGCAUCGGCUAACUCCGUGCCAGCCGCCGCGGUAAUACGUAUGAUGCGAUCGUUAUCCGGAUUUAUUGGGUUUAAAGGGUGCGCAGGCGGCCUGUUAAGUCAGCGGUAAAAGCCCGGGGCUCAACCCCGGCGAGCCGUUGAAACUGGCGGGCUGGAGUUGGAGAGAGGUGCGCGGAAUGCGCGGUGUAGCGGUGAAAUGCUUAGAUAUCGCGCAGAACCCCGAUUGCGAAGGCAGCGUACCGGCUCCACACUGACGCUGAGGCACGAAAGCGUGGGUAUCGAACAGGAUUAGAGAAAAGGGGAGUC
rnacentral:rRNA from 1 species